CCCCUAGAUGUUCUGGGCCGCACGCGCGCUACACUGAACAGUUCAACAAGUCUUAACCUUGGCCGAUAGGUCUGGGUAAUCUUUGAACGCUGUUCGUGAUUGGGAUAGACCUUUGCAAUUAUGGGUCUUCAACGAGGAAUUCCUAGUAAACGCAAGUCAUCAGCUUGCAUUGAUUACGUCCCUGCCCUUUGUACACACCGCCAGUCGCACCUACCGAUUGAAUGGUCCGGUGAAAUCUCGGGACGGCGGCUCGGUCGCUUGCGUCCGACUGCUGAAACUUGAUUAAACCAUAUCAUUUAGAGGAAGGUGAAGUCGUAACA
rnacentral:rRNA from 1 species